UACGGGGGGCGCAAGCGUUGUUCGGAUUUACUGGGCGUAAAGGGCGCGUAGGCGGCCAGCGCAAGUCGGUUGUGAAAUCUCCGGGCUUAACUCGGAAAGGUCAACUGAUACUGCGCGGCUAGAGUGCAGAAGGGGCAACUGGAAUUCUCGGUGUAGCGGUGAAAUGCGUAGAUAUCGAGAGGAACACCUGCGGCGAAGGCGGGUUGCUGGGCUGACACUGACGCUGAGUGCGCGAAAGCCAGGGGAGCGAACGGG
rnacentral:rRNA from 1 species